UGAACCUGCGGAAGGAUUAUUA
rnacentral:rRNA from 2 species